UCUUGUUUGGGUAACAGUAAAAACAAGGCCUUAGCUUGUUUUGGAUCUACCCGAGCCCACCCGAAACAAAUAAGAACCGUUUGUUCUUCUUGCACCCGAGCCCACCCGAAACCCUAUCUCCUUCUUCCAUCAUGACAAGAGCUCCGGAUCUGCAAGAGCCCGACCUUCGAUCGCGCAACAGUGCAGUUACACUCUCAAGCACCUGACCUCCGGUCGCACAACUCAGACCACCCGCAGAACCAUCUCUUCCUCCAACUCCUUUGCAAAGCUCGCCAAGAGCUCCGGAUCUGCAAGCAGUUCAAGGUUUUGCCCUUCAACCUCUUGACCCAAGCUCGCUGCGACGUCUCCAUCCUCGAGCCCGAGCCUCGAAAAGGGAAAGAGUUCGAGUUUGUGAAUUGGUCCCACUAUGCAUGUAGACAAGAUUGUAUAACAUUGGAGCUGCUUUGGUAGAGUUGCCUUGGUGGAGUUGCUUUGGUUUGUUUAAAUUUUAGUUGCUUUGGUUUGGUUUGCUUUGGAGUAGAGUUGAUCCACUUUUGUCUUGUUGAGGAUAUGAGAUGAGAUGGGGUCACUAAAAUGAAUUCGAAGGUCAAUAGGUUCCUAUACUGGAGUUGGGGUUUGAAGGUCAAUAGGGUCAUGCUAGUUCUAUCAGUAUUGGUUUCUAAAUGGAAUGUACUUCUAUUUUAGUUGUUUAGAUGUGCUGACUCUUGUGGGUGAAAGAGAAACUUAGCCAUGAACAUCUACUCAUGCAUUUGUUGUCCAACAAUCUUCCUUUAACAUUAAAGACUUUUGACAUUUAACUGGAUGGGUAUUUUUGCAUCUGUGGAUGACACAUUUGCUUAUUUGCUAGACCACCAUGGGUCUUCAUUUAGCUCAUAAUUCAGAUAUUGCACUAUUGUAGCUGUUUCAUAUGGGCUUAUUGCUCUUGCCGGGUGAAUGCGAUCCAAUUUUUGUCUUUGA